UGCAGUUCGACGAUAACCAGUUCCGUGGUCAUUAAUGUCGAAGGGGUAAGUAACAGUGCGCGUUCUGCCCCGGCCUCUAGGACAGGCCCUGCUCACGGGGUCUAGAACCGGAAACGGACCGCCCCGUGCAUCUCAGGGGUUCGAGAUCUCCGACGGUGCCGGAUGACCCCUCGGCCUAUCCCCUUGUUGCUGAAGUUAUGUCUCGCCAUAGCGACUACCGGUAGCCAGCAUGAGAAGGCGACCGGACACGCUGAGACUGAAACCCGGCCCAGACACCUAGCGCAGGCACCAAUGGGGAGUAUUGCACAGUGGUCUACCGCCUGGUGCAACGACCCCACGUGACGGAUGACCGCGUUCGAGUUGUGUACCUCUAUCAUCAAGCAAUAAUCUAAGGUGACGAGUACCUGCAAAAGAAACUGCUGCCAACUACAUGCCACCAACCGCGGUAAUACCUACGGCGUACGUGUUGUCCGGAAUUAUUGGUGCGUAAAUAGCUCGUAGGCGUGCUUGUCAUAUUGGGUUGUGAAAGCCCGGGGCUUAACCCCGUGGUCUGCAUUCGAUACCGGCAGGCUAAACUUCGGUAGGGUCAUAUCAGACUUCCUGGUUUAACUGUGAAAUGCGCAGAAUGUAAUUACGAACACCGGUGGUGAAAUGCGGAUAUCUGGGCAGAUACUGACGCUUGAGGAGCGAACUCGUGGGGAUCGAACUGGAUCAGAUACCCUGGAUACUCCACGCCGUAAACGGGAGUACACUACCGUGUGGGCCACAUUCCAAGUUGACCAUGGCGCAGCGUACGGGAUUAUUUGCCCCGCUCAGGGGGAGUACGGCCGCAAGGCUAAAACUCACCGGAAUUGACCGGGGCCCAACACAAGCAGCUCGAACAAGUUGCUUAAUUCCACGCAAACGCGGAGAACCUUACCGGUGCUUGACAUACCCCCGGAAACGUCCAUAGAUGGGCGUCCACAUUGUGGUGAGGAGUACAAGAUGGUAGGAGGGUUCUCUUCCAGGUCCUGGUCGUGAGAAGGUUGGGGUGAAUUUCCCCCACCAAGGGCACCCCUUGUCCCGUGUUGCCAGCAGGCCCUUGUGGUGCUGGGGACUCACGGGAGACCGCCGGGGUCAACUCGGAGGAAGGUGGGGACGACGUCAAGUCAUCAUGCCCCUUAUGUCUUGGGCUGCACACGUGCUACAAUGGCCGGUACAAUGAGCUGCGAUACCGCAAGGUGGAGCGAAUCUCAAAAAGCCGGUCUCAGUUCGGAUUGGGGUCUGCAACUCGACCCCAUGAAGUCGGAGUCGCUAGUAAUCGCAGAUCAGCAUUGCUGCGGUGAAUACGUUCCCGGGCCUUGUACACACCGCCCGUCACGUCACGAAAGUCGGUAACACCCGAAGCCGGUGGCCCAACCCCUUGUGGGAGGGAGCUGUCGAAGGUGGGACUGGCGAUUGGGACGAAGUCGUAACAA
rnacentral:rRNA from 1 species